ensembl:misc_RNA 7SK 7SK RNA
GGAUGUGAGGGCAAUCUGGCUGCAACCAUCUGUCACUCCAUUGAUUGCCAGGGUUCAUUUGGCUGAUCUGGCUGGCUAGGUGGGUGUCCCCUUCCUCCCUCACCGCUCCUCCCAAAGCUGCUUGGUUGAAGAGGACAGAGGCCGUCAUUACUGGACGGACCGAAGGACGGUCAAGGGUAUACGAGUAGCUGCGCUCCCCUGCUAGAACCUCCAAACAAGCUCUCAAGAAUAGGUCAACUUCCAAUGGACUCCAGGAGUUACAGAACUCUGGUGCUGGGAACUGUAUGAAAUUAUACCCCCUCCUGUCCCACAAUCUUGU